rnacentral:rRNA from 1 species
AGCGAACGCUGGCGGCAGGCCUAACACAUGCAAGUCGAAUGGAUCCUUCGGGAUUAGUGGCGGACGGGUGAGUAACACGCGGGACCGUGCCUAUAGGGUCGGAACAACUCAGGGAAACUUCAGCUAAUACCGGAUGUGCUCUUAGGGGGAGAGAUUUAUCGCCUUCAGAGCGGCCCGCGUCUGAUUAGAUAGUUGGUGAGGUAAAGGCUCAUCAAGGCGACGAUCAGUAGCUGGUCUGAGAGGAUGACCAGCUACAUUGGGACUGAGACACGGCCCAAACUCCUACGGGAGGCAGCAGUGGGGAAUCUUGCGCAAUGGGCGAAAGACUGACGCAGCCAUGCCGCGUGUAUGAUGAAGGUCUUAGGAUUGUAAAAUACUUUCACCGGUGAAGAUAAUGACUGUAGCCGGAGAAGAAGCCCCGGCUAACUUCGUGCCAGCAACCGCAGUAA